rnacentral:rRNA from 1 species
AGAGUUUGAUCCUGGCUCAGGACGAACGCUGGCGGCGUGCUUAACACAUGCAAGUCAAGGGGGCCCGUAGCAAUACGGGCAACCGGCGAACGGGUGCGUAACACGUGAGCAACCUGCCGAUCUGCGGGGGAUAGCCGGCCCAACGGCCGGGUAAUACCGCAUACGUUCUCGAGAGGGAGUCCUCUUGGGAGGAAACCUUUAUUGGGCAGAUCGAGGGGCUCGCGGCCUAUCAGCUAGUUGGCGGGGUAAUGGCCCACCAAGGCACCGACGGGUAGCUGGUCUGAGAGGAUGGCCAGCCACAUUGGGACUGAGAAACGGCCCAGACUCCUACGGGAGGCAGCAGUGGGGAAUCUUGCGCAAUGGCCGAAAGGCUGACGCAGCGACGCCGCGUGUGGGAGGACGCCCUUCGGGGUGUAAACCACUGUUGCCCGGGACGAACACCCUCUUUCGAGAGGGCUGACGGUACCGGGUGAGGAAGCACCGGCUAACUCCGUGCCAGCCGCCGCGGUAAUAC